rnacentral:misc_RNA from 1 species
GGAAGAAGUCGAGCAGAGCAAUUAUUGCAAAUAUUGAGAAAGGUGGAUCAGUAUGUUUCCUCUUCAUUGGACUACCAGAGGAAAAGAGGGUGUCUUGCAGCUCAUGAGCUACUUUUCAAGUUUCGGAUGAUCUGCAUCAGUGGAUACUGUGCACUAGGCUGUCGAGGAACUUGCACUCACAGAGAGAAAACCGACCGUGCUAUGCAUCACACCUUAUCUAAUUUACCUUCUGCAUUUGCUUUACCAAGCCGCGAUGCUUUGCGCUUGGGAGAUCGUACAAUGAUGUAUCUUCCACGAUGUGUAGAUACAAAUUCUGAAGUUCGGAAAGUUUCUGUUCAGAUCCUUCAUCUGUAUUUCAGUAUAUCUCUAUCGCUUCCAAGGCCUGUUAACUCUAGUUUCAGCAAUGACAUUGAGUUAUCCUAUAGUGCUUUGUCUUCCCUUGAAGAUGUUAUAUCUAUCCUACGAAGUGAUGCUUCAAUUGACCCAUCAGA